AUUGAACGCUGGCGGCAUGCCUUACACAUGCAAGUCGAACGGCAGCACGGGAGCAAUCCUGGUGGCGAGUGGCGAACGGGUGAGUAGUACAUCGGAACGUGCCUAGUAGUGGGGGAUAGCCCGGCGAAAGCCGGAUUAAUACCGCAUACGACCUGAGGGUGAAAGCGGGGGAUCGCAAGACCUCGCGCGAUCAGAGCGGCCGAUGCCAGAUUAGGUAGUUGGUGGGGUAAAAGCCUACCAAGCCGACGAUCUGUAGCUGGUCUGAGAGGACGACCAGCCACACUGGGACUGAGACACGGCCCAGACUCCUACGGGGGGCAGCAGUGGGGAAUUUUGGACAAUGGGCGCAAGCCUGAUCCAGCCAUGCCGCGUGCAGGAAGAAGGCCUUCGGGUUGUAAACUGCUUUUGUCAGGGAAGAAAAGUUCUGGGCUAAUACCCCGGAGCGAUGACGGUACCUGAAGAAUAAGCACCGGCUAACUACGUGCCAGCAGCCGCAGUAA
rnacentral:rRNA from 1 species